CCAAUGGCACUGCCCGGUAGCUAAAUGCGGAAGAGAUAAGUGCUGAAAGCAUCUAAGCACGAAACUUGCCCCGAGAUGAGUUCUCCCUGAGACUUUAGGUCUCCUGAAGGAACGUUGAAGACGACGACGUUGAUAGGCCGGGUGUGUAAGCGCAGCGAUGCGUUGAGCUAACCGGUACUAAUGAACCGUGAGGCUUAACCUU
rnacentral:rRNA from 1 species